rnacentral:rRNA from 1 species
ACUCAGCAUAGGAGGUCCCGCCUGCCCUGUGACCAAAAGUUUAACGGCCGCGGUAUUUUAACCGUGCAAAGGUAGCGCAAUCAAUUGUCUUUUAAAUGAAGACCUGUAUGAAUGGCAUAACGAGGGUUUAACUGUCUCUUUUUUCAGGUCAAUGAAACUGAUCUGUCCGUGCAGAAGCGGACAUAUUAACACAAGACGAGAAGACCCUAUGGAGCUUUAGACGCCCACCAACCACGAAAAGCAGCCUACCUAAACAGAUGCUCUAAACAACGCGGUCCUGGUACAAACGUCUUCGGUUGGGGCGACCGCGGAGGAGAACAAAGCCUCCGAGAGGAAUGGGAACAAACCCUAAAACCAAGAGCCACAGCUCUAAGUCACAAAAAAUUUGACCGACAAUGAUCCGGCUUACUGCCGAUCAACGGACCAAGUUACCCUAGGGAUAACAGCGCAAUCCCCUCCCAGAGUCCAUAUCGACGAGGGGGUUUACGACCUCGAUGUUGGAUCAGGACAUCCUAAUGGUGCAGCCGCUAUUAAGGGUUCGUUUGUUCAACGAUUAAA